UACGGAGGAUGCGAGCGUUAUCCGGAUUUAUUGGGUUUAAAGGGUGCGUAGGCGGUCCGUUAAGUCAGCGGUAAAAUUGCUGGGCUCAACCCCGUCGAGCCGUUGAAACUGUCAGACUUGAGUUGGCGAGAAGUACGCGGAAUGCGCGGUGUAGCGGUGAAAUGCAUAGAUAUCGCGCAGAACUCCGAUUGCGAAGGCAGCGUACCGGCGCCACACUGACGCUGAGGCACGAAAGCGUGGGGAUCGAACAGG
rnacentral:rRNA from 1 species